GUGGAGGAGGGAAAGUCUAUCACAUUGUCUUGUACUGUUGCAGGUGACCCAGUUCCAAAUUUGUACUGGGAUGUCGGUAAUCUGGUUUCCAAGCAUAUGAAUGAAACAAGCCACACACAGGGCUCCUUAAGGAUAACUAACAUUUCAUCUGAUGACAGUGGAAAGCAAAUCUCUUGUGUGGCAGAAAAUCUUGUAGGAGAAGAUCAAGAUUCUGUCAACCUCACUGUACAUUUUGCUCCAACUAUCACAUUUCUCGAAUCUCCAACCUCAGACCACCACUGGUGCAUUCCAUUCACUGUGAAAGGCAAUCCCAAGCCAGCGCUUCAGUGGUUCUAUAACGGGGCAAUUUUGAAUGAGUCCAAAUACAUCUGUACUAAAAUCCAUGUUACCAAUCAUACGGAGUACCACGGCUGCCUCCAGCUGGACAACCCCACUCACAUGAACAAUGGGGACUACAAGUUAGUAGCCAAGAAUGAAUAUGGGAAGGAUGAGAAACAGAUUUCUGCUCACUUCAUGGGCUGGCCUGGAAUCGAUGAUGGUUUGCCAUCAGCAAAUCUGGCUGCACCUAACCUCACCGUGGAGGAGGGACAGUCUAUCACAUUAUCUUGUACUGUUGCAGGUGACCCAGUUCCAAAUUUGUACUGGGAUGUCGGUAAUCUGGUUUCCAAGCAUAUGAAUGAAACAAGCCACACACAGGGCUCCUUAAGGAUAACUAACAUUUCAUCUGAUGACAGUGGAAAGCAAAUCUCUUGUGUGGCAGAAAAUCUUGUAGGAGAAGAUCAAGAUUCUGUCAACCUCACUGUACAUUUUGCUCCAACUAUCACAUUUCUCGAAUCUCCAACCUCAGACCACCACUGGUGCAUUCCAUUCACUGUGAAAGGCAAUCCCAAGCCAGCGCUUCAGUGGUUCUAUAACGGGGCAAUUUUGAAUGAGUCCAAAUACAUCUGUACUAAAAUCCAUGUUACCAAUCAUACGGAGUACCACGGCUGCCUCCAGCUGGACAACCCCACUCACAUGAACAAUGGGGACUACAAGUUAGUAGCCAAGAAUGAAUAUGGGAAGGAUGAGAAACAGAUUUCUGCUCACUUCAUGGGCUGGCCUGGAAUCGAUGAUGGUGCAAAUCCAAAUUAUCCUGAUGUAAUUUAUGAAGAUUACGGAACCGCAGCAAAUGACAUUGGGGACACCACGAACAAAAGUAAUGGAACCCUUCCCACAGGUGUUGUUGAUACAGGUCGGGAACACCUCUCGGUCUAUGCUGUGGUGGUAAUUGCAUCUGUAGUGGGAUUUUGUCUACUGGUAAUGCUAUUUCUGCUGAAGUUGGCAAGACAUUCCAAGUUUGGCAUGAAAGGCCCAGCCUCGGUUAUCAGUAAUGAUGAUGACUCUGCCAGCCCACUGCAUCACAUCUCUAAUGGGAGUAACACCCCGUCGUCUUCAGAGGGUGGCCCUGAUGCUGUCAUUAUUGGAAUGACCAAGAUUCCUGUCAUUGAAAAUCCCCAGUACUUUGGCAUUACCAACAGUCAGCUCAAGCCAGACACAUUUGUUCAGCACAUCAAGCGACACAACAUUGUCUUGAAAAGGGAGCUAGGUGAAGGAGCCUUUGGAAAAGUUUUCCUCGCUGAAUGCUAUAACCUCUGUCCUGAGCAGGACAAGAUCUUGGUGGCUGUGAAGACGCUGAAGGAUGCCAGCGACAAUGCACGCAAGGACUUCCACCGCGAGGCCGAGCUGCUGACCAACCUCCAGCACGAGCACAUUGUCAAGUUCUAUGGCGUCUGCGUGGAGGGCGACCCACUCAUAAUGGUCUUCGAGUACAUGAAGCAUGGGGACCUCAACAAAUUCCUCAGGGCACACGGACCGGAUGCAGUGCUGAUGGCCGAGGGCAACCCACCGGCAGAGCUGACGCAAUCGCAGAUGCUGCACAUCGCCCAGCAGAUCGCUGCAGGCAUGGUCUACCUGGCGUCGCAGCACUUCGUGCACCGAGACCUGGCCACCCGGAACUGCCUGGUGGGCGAGAACCUCCUGGUGAAAAUCGGGGACUUCGGCAUGUCCCGGGACGUGUAUAGCACUGACUACUACAGGGUCGGUGGCCACACAAUGCUGCCCAUUCGCUGGAUGCCCCCAGAGAGCAUCAUGUAUAGGAAGUUCACCACCGAAAGUGACGUCUGGAGCCUGGGGGUCGUGUUGUGGGAGAUCUUCACGUACGGGAAACAGCCCUGGUACCAGCUGUCGAACAACGAGGUGAUAGAAUGCAUCACUCAGGGCCGAGUCCUGCAGCGACCUCGAACAUGCCCCCAGGAAGUCUACGAGCUGAUGCUGGGGUGCUGGCAGCGAGAGCCCCAUAUGAGGAAGAACAUCAAGGGCAUCCACACCCUCCUUCAGAACUUGGCCAAGGCAUCUCCAGUCUACCUGGAUAUUCUAGGGUAGGGCCCAUUCCCCCAGACCAGUCCUUCUGAAAGCACUUCCUCAGUUGGGCCGAGAGGAUGAACGUCUUUUAACUGCCGCUCGAUGCCAUCAAUCCGCUGUUCUUUGCUCUGACAGUAUUAACAACAAAGACACUGAGAAGCUUUCCGAGGGAAGCGACGUGUACUUCUCCACCUGUAGACACAGUAUGGACUUCUUUUUAGCAUUCUCUUUCUCUCUUUCCAUCUCCCUUCAUUUAUUCUCUAGUUUCCACCCCCCCCCCCCGGUUUAUUUUUUGUCUUCCUUGCUUUACAACCCCUACCUUUUCUUUUUUAAUCAAUCUGGCUUCUGCAUUACUAUUAACUCUGCAUAGACAAAGGCCUUAACAAACCUAAUUUGUUAUAUCAGCAGACACUCCAGUUUGCCCACCACAACUAACAAUGCCUUGUUGUAUUCCUGCCUUUGAUGUGGAUGAAAAAAAGGGAAAACAAAUAUUUGACUUAAACUUUGUCACUUUUGCUGUACAGACACCGAGAGUUUCUAUGGAUUCACUUCUAUUUAUUUAUUAUUAUUACUGUUCUUAUUGUUUUGGGAUGGCUUAAGCCUGUGUAUGAAAAAGGAAAACUUGUGUUCAAUUUGGGAAGCCUUUAUCUAUGGGAGAUUAAGACCAGAGAGAAAGAAGAUUUAUUAUAAACCACAGUAUGGGAAGAACAAAGACAACCAUUGGAAUCUACUGGCGUCAGUUUCAACUUAAGAAAACCCAGCCACUGGUAGCUGGGAGGAAUGUAUCGGGCAUUUUCCCCCAAGGACCUUUCUGAGGAGUAUGAGGACUGUUGAACUCUGUGCCAUGGGCUAUUCUUUUCCCAUCACCGGAAAUGCUAGAGUGUAGUACAGAGAAAAUACGGCUUCUGGGAGGCAAGAUGGCACACAACACAUUCCGACAGUCUCAUCCUUGUAGGCCAUGGUGAUGGCACUGGUUUGUUUUGCCGAGUGUUAUCCACUGAGCCUUUGUCAAGUUCAGGUG
rnacentral:lncRNA from 1 species